rnacentral:rRNA from 1 species
AUGAGCUGCUUUAACUGUAGUUGGCCGGGGCACUAUGUGGGGAACUGCAUUGAGCCGAAGAAGUGCUUUAUCUGCGCGGGAGGUCAUAAUGUCAACAACUGCGCUGCCUGGGCAAAGCCACAUCCUACAGCGACCUACUUUGGUAGCGCAGUGGCUGGCCUGGGGUUUUACCAUAUUGAUGUACCCACUGCUUCAGAACUAAGUUGGCUUAACUACAAAAAUUGUGCAGCUCUCAAAGUGGUUAAGGGUGAGGUUUCUGCCUCAGAGUUGCCGAUUCAGCUCAAUGGAAUUUUUUUGCAAAAACAAAGAGUGGCCUUGACAGAUUAG